CAUGCAGUAGACGCAUCUUGAAAGCGCUGAUUCUUCGGAAGACGCAAUUUCGCUGGAUGAGUUGCGAACGGGUGAGUAACACGUGGGAAACCUGCCUCAAAGUGGGGGAUAACACAUCGAAAGGUGUGCUAAUACCGCAUAAUAUUUAUUUUCGCAUGGAAGUAAAUUGAAAGGAGCAAUUGCUCCACUUUGAGAUGGUCCUGCGGUGCAUUAGCUAGUUGGUGAGGUAACGGCUCACCAAGGCGACGAUGCAUAGCCGACCUGAGAGGGUGAUCGGCCACAUUGGGACUGAGACACGGCCCAAACUCCUACGGGAGGCAGCAGUAGGGAAUCUUCGGCAAUGGGGGCAACCCUGACCGAGCAACGCCGCGUGAGUGAUGAAGGUUUUCGGAUCGUAAAGCUCUGUUGAUAGAGAAGAACGUGUGUGAGAGUGGAAAGCUCAUACAAUGACGGUAUCUAUCCAGAAAGGGACGGCUAACUACGUGCCAGCAGCCGCGGUAAUACGUAGGUCCCGAGCGUUGUCCGGAUUUAUUGGGCGUAAAGCGAGCGCAGGCGGUUUCUUAAGUCUGAUGUCAAAGGCAGUGGCUCAACCAUUGUACGCAUUGGAAACUGGGGAACUUGAGUGCAGAAGAGGAGAGUGGAAUUCCAUGUGUAGCGGUGAAAUGCGUAGAUAUAUGGAGGAACACCAGUGGCGAAGGCGGCUCUCUGGUCUGUAACUGACGCUGAGGCUCGAAAGCGUGGGGAGCGAACAGGAUUAGAUACCCUGGUAGUCCACGCCGUAAACGAUGAGUGCUAAGUGUUGGGGGCUUUCCGGCCCUCAGUGCUGCAGCUAACGCAUUAAGCACUCCGCCUGGGGAGUACGACCGCAAGGUUGAAACUCAAAGGAAUUGACGGGGGCCCGCACAAGCGGUGGAGCAUGUGGUUUAAUUCGAAGCAACGCGAAGAACCUUACCAGGUCUUGACAUCCCAUUGACCGCUCUAGAGGUAGAGUUUCUCUUCGGAGCAAUGGUGACAGGUGGUGCAUGGUUGUCGUCAGCUCGUGUCGUGAGAUGUUGGGUUAAGUCCCGCAACGAGCGCAACCCUUAUGUUUAGUUGCCAUCAUUCAGUUGGGCACUCUAGACAGACUGCCGGUGACAAACCGGAGGAAGGUGGGGAUGACGUCAAAUCAUCAUGCCCCUUAUGACCUGGGCUACACACGUGCUACAAUGGGGAGUACAACGAGCAGCAAGCUAGCGAUAGCAAGCGAAUCUCUUAAAACUCCUCUCAGUUCGGAUUGUAGGCUGCAACUCGCCUACAUGAAGCCGGAAUCGCUAGUAAUCGCGGAUCAGCACGCCGCGGUGAAUACGUUCCCGGGCCUUGUACACACCGCCCGUCACACCACGAGAGUUUGUAACACCCGAAGUCGGUGAGGUAACCGUAAGGAGCCAGCCGC
rnacentral:rRNA from 1 species